rnacentral:misc_RNA from 1 species
AAGUCGUAACAAGGUUUCCGUAGGUGAACCUGCGGAAGGAUCAUUAACACGUAUCCACGUAUCAACCCCAUGUGCUCUUUUGGUUUCGUACCCUGCCAGUGCAGAGGAAAGUUGGGCGACUCGAGUCGAAUGGUGAAAGAGGGAACAAACAUGCAUCUCUGGUGUGUGGCUGUUCUCUCUUGUGACUCGGGUGGUCUGUGUGCUUUUCUCGACUUUUAUGCUGGUAGGCUUGUGUUCUUUUCACCAUUGGAAUCAAACCUUUUUUUAAAACUUUAAACCCCUAGUACCAUUAUGUUACUGAAUCAAUGUUUUCUAAAGAGAAACAGGCUUUCGGGCUUUUGUUCUUUCUUUAUUAAAUAACGAUACGAAACGCUUGACAACUCUUAGCAACGGAUAUCUUGGCUCUC